rnacentral:lncRNA from 1 species
AUUUCAGAUGUCUUUUAUCACUCCCUGCCUCAUUGUGUUUCUUCAAAGAUUUCUCAGAUGAAUCAUAUGUGGCUGAAGGCAUGACCUCUAAAGAAGCUGAGAACAUUCAAAAACAGCAAGGUAAAUCAUGCUACCAGUAGAAAUCAUCCUCCGGGCAACAAGAGACAAAGAAAGCAUUCAAAGCAAAGGUGAGAUUUGCCAUUAGCCUUACUGGAUAGAGACUAAGAGAUGAGGAAUUCAGAAAAAAAAGGAAAUCAGAAAUCAAUUUCCUGGCGGAGAAAUUGACAUGUGAAAAGCCCAAGAUACAUCCAUGGAUGAUGAGUGAUCCAAGACAGAUGAGAUAAAGGAAACAGGUUGCUAACAGAAGACUUCUCGCCUUGACAGCUUUGAGGAGAGGACAGACAUCUGAGAGAAUUUCCUUUUCCCAAGGCAAACAGGCAGGAGUCAGAAUAGACGUAAGUAAGAGGAAUAAGCUGUCUUCUUACUACUGCUUCCAGAACCUGAUUUUUGUGUCUCGUUUGUAAGAAAAGACAGGCUUGACUAAGAUAGGACAAAAAUCUGAAAGAUAUUUAUGGACCACAUCCUUACAGUCACGUAGAAAGUGGA